rnacentral:rRNA from 1 species
CAUGCAUGUCUAAGUAUAAGCAAUUAUACCGUGAAACUGCGAAUGGCUCAUUAAAUCAGUUAUCGUUUAUUUGAUAGUACCUUACUACUUGGAUAACCGUGGUAAUUCUAGAGCUAAUACAUGCUGAAAACCCUGACUUCGGAAAGGGUGUAUUUAUUAGAUAAAAAACCAAUGCCCUUUGGGGCUCUUUGGUGAUUCAUGAUAACUUAACGGAUCGCAUGGCCUUGCGCCGGCGACGGUUCAUUCAAAUUUCUGCCCUAUCAACUUUCGAUGGUAAGGUAUUGGCUUACCAUGGUUUCAACGGGUAACGGGGAAUUAGGGUUCGAUUCCGGAGAGGGAGCCUGAGAAACGGCUACCACAUCCAAGGAAGGCAGCAGGCGCGCAAAUUACCCAAUCCCGACACGGGGAGGUAGUGACAAUAAAUACUGAUACAGGGCUCUUUUGGGUCUUGUAAUCGGAAUGAGUACAAUUUAAACCUCCUAACGAGGAACAAUUGGAGGGCAAGUCUGGUGCCAGCAGCCGCGGUAAUUCCAGCUCCAAUAGCGUAUAUUAAAGUUGUUGCAGUUAAAAAGCUCGUAGUUGAACCUUGGGCCUGGCUGGCCGGUCCGCCUCACCGCGUGUACUGGUCUGGCCGGGCCUUUCCUCCUGGAGAACCUCAUGCCCUUCAGUGGGUGUGUUGGGGAACCAGGACUUUUACUUUGAAAAAAUUAGAGUGUUCAAAGCAGGCCUUUGCUCGAAUACGUUAGCAUGGAAUAAUAGAAUAGGACGUGCGGUCCUAUUUUGUUGGUUUCUAGGACCGCCGUAAUGAUUAAUAGGGAUAGUCGGGGGCAUCAGUAUUCAAUUGUCAGAGGUGAAAUUCUUGGAUUUAUUGAAGACUAACUACUGCGAAAGCAUUUGCCAAGGAUGUUUUCAUUAAUCAGUGAACGAAAGUUAGGGGAUCGAAGACGAUCAGAUACCGUCGUAGUCUUAACCGUAAACUAUGCCGACUAGGGAUCGGGCGAUGUUUCUAUCUUGACUCGCUCGGCACCUUACGAGAAAUCAAAGUUUUUGGGUUCUGGGGGGAG